CGGCGAACGGGUGAGUAAUGCUUCGGAAUCUGCCCAAUGGUGGGGAAUAACCAGCCGAAAGGUUGGCUAAUACCGCAUAAGUCCUACGGGAGAAAGCAGGGGAUCGUAAGACCUUGCGCCGAUGGAUGAGCCGAAGCCGGAUUAGCUAGUUGGUAGGGUAACGGCCUACCAAGGCGACGAUCCGUAGCUGGUCUGAGAGGACGACCAGCCACACUGGGACUGAGACACGGCCCAG
rnacentral:rRNA from 1 species